AACGAACGCUGGCGGCAGGCUUAACACAUGCAAGUCGAGCGCACCGCAAGGUGAGCGGUAGACGGGUGAGUAACGCGUGGGAAUCUACCCAACCCUACGGAAUAACCUAGGGAUACUUGGACUAAUACCGUAUACGCCCUAUUCGGGUAAGGUUUAUCGGGGAUGGGUGAGCCCGCGUUGGCUUAGCUAGUUGGGGGGGUAAAGGCCUACCAAGGCGACUAUCCAUAGCUGGGCUGAGAGGAUGAUCAGCCACAUUGGGACUGAGCCACGGCCCAAACUCCUACGGGAGGCGGGAGUGGGGGAUAUUGGACAAUGGGCGCGAGCCUGAACCAGCCAUGCCGCGUGAGUGAUGAAGGCCUUAGGGUUGUAAAGCUCUUUCAGUAGGGAAGAUACUGACGGUACCUACAGAAGAAGCCCCGGCUAACUUCGUG
rnacentral:rRNA from 1 species